rnacentral:tRNA from 1 species
CGGAUAGUAGCGUAAUAGGUAACGUGUCUAGUUUGGGAUUAGAAGAUUGUAAGUUCAAAUCUUGCCUAUCCGA